rnacentral:rRNA from 1 species
AUGAAAAUGCCGCAGCCACCAGAGUUGGACCCGACCGUGACCCAGGAGCAAGCAGGCUACGCCGGCUCUGCCGUCCUGAGCAUGCACACCCACAUCACGCACAACAUGGAGCAUGCGCGCAUGCAGCUGUGCGUGCAAACUCGCACACACACACAUACACACACACACACACACACACACACACACACCCCACACGAACGCAGCAGCAUCACUCCAGCCGCAAACAUGUCCGCGACAAACCGCAAGGGGCUACAGGGCGACAACAAAGGGAGCGAGAGAAGGAGGCAGGUGUCGUGCGACCGAGGAGCGAAAACCGACGGCGACCUCGACAUGAACCAGCGGAAGGCGCCUCGCACAUAUCCACCAUAG